AACGAACGCUGGCGGCAUGCCUAACACAUGCAAGUCGAACGAGACCUUCGGGUCUAGUGGCGCACGGGUGCGUAACGCGUGGGAACCUGCCCUUAGGUUCGGAAUAACUCCCCGAAAGGGGUGCUAAUACCGGAUAAUUUCUUCGGACCAAAGAUUUAUCGCCUUUGGAUGGGCCCGCGUUGGAUUAGCUAGUUGGUAGGGUAAAAGCCUACCAAGGCGACGAUACAUAGCUGGUCUGAGAGGAUGAUCAGCCACACUGGGACUGAGACGCGGCCCAGACUCCUACGGGAGGCAGCAGUGGGGAAUAUUGGACAAUGGGCGAAAGCAUGAUCCAGCAAUGCCGCGUGAGUGAUGAAGGCCUUAGGGUUGUAAAGCUCUUUUACCCGGGAUGAUAAUGACAGUACCGGGAGAAGAAGCUCCGGCUAACUCCGUG
rnacentral:rRNA from 1 species